rnacentral:rRNA from 1 species
CAGCCAUGCCGCGUGUAUGAAGAAGGCCUUCGGGUUGUAAAGUACUUUCAGCGAGGAGGAAGGUGUUGUGGUUAAUAACCACAGCAAUUGACGUUACUCGCAGAAGAAGCACCGGCUAACUCCGUGCCAGCAGCCGCGGUAAUACGGAGGGUGCGAGCGUUAAUCGGAAUUACUGGGCGUAAAGCGCACGCAGGCGGUCUGUCAAGUCGGAUGUGAAAUCCCCGGGCUCAACCUG